UACGUAGGGUGCAAGCGUUUAAUCGGAAUUACUGGGCGUAAAGCGUGCGCAGGCGGCUAUGCAAGACAGAUGUGAAAUCCCCCGGGCUCAACCUGGGAACUGCAUUUGUGACUGCAUAGCUAGAGUACGGUAGAGGGGGAUGGAAUUCCGCGUGUAGCAGUGAAAUGCGUAGAUAUGCGGAGGAACACCGAUGGCGAAGGCAAUCCCCUGGACCUGUACUGACGC
rnacentral:rRNA from 1 species